AUGCAGUCGAACGAGAGAAGAGAAGCUUGCUUUUCUGAUCUAGUGGCGGACGGGUGAGUAACACGUGAGCAAUCUGCCUUUCAGAGGGGGAUACCGAUUGGAAACGAUCGUUAAUACCGCAUAAUAUAAUUGAACCGCAUGAUUUGAUUAUCAAAGAUUUAUCGCUGAAAGAUGAGCUCGCGUCUGAUUAGCUAGUUGGUAAGGUAACGGCUUACCAAGGCGACGAUCAGUAGCCGGACUGAGAGGUUGAUCGGCCACAUUGGGACUGAGACACGGCCCAGACUCCUACGGGAGGCAGCAGUGGGGAAUAUUGCACAAUGGAGGAAACUCUGAUGCAGCGAUGCCGCGUGAGGGAAGAAGGUUUUAGGAUUGUAAACCUCUGUCUUCAGGGACGAAAAAAGACGGUACCUGAGGAGGAAGCUCCGGCUAACUACGUGCCAGCAGCCGCGGUAAUACGUAGGGAGCGAGCGUUGUCCGGAAUUACUGGGUGUAAAGGGAGCGUAGGCGGGAUCGCAAGUCAGAUGUGAAAACUAUGGGCCUAACCCAUAAACUGCAUUUGAAACUGUGGUUCUUGAGUGGAGUAGAGGUAAGCGGAAUUCCUAGUGUAGCGGUGAAAUGCGUAGAUAUUAGGAGGAACAUCAGUGGCGAAGGCGGCUUACUGGGCUUUAACUGACGCUGAGGCUCGAAAGCGUGGGGAGCAAACAGGAUUAGAUACCCUGGUAGUCCACGCCGUAAACGAUGAUUACUAGGUGUGGGGGGACUGACCCCUUCCGUGCCGCAGCAAACGCAAUAAGUAAUCCACCUGGGGAGUACGACCGCAAGGUUGAAACUCAAAGGAAUUGACGGGGGCCCGCACAAGCAGUGGAGUAUGUGGAUUAAUUCGAAGCAACGCGAAGAACCUUACCAGGUCUUGACAUCGUAUGCAUAGCUCAGAGAUGAGUGAA
rnacentral:rRNA from 1 species